UACGGAGGAUGCGAGCGUUAUUCGGAUUUAUUGGGUUUAAAGGGUGCGUAGGCGGACGCUUAAGUCAGCGGUAAAAUUGCGGGGCUCAACCUCGUCGAGCCGUUGAAACUGGGUGCCUUGAGUGGGCGAGAAGUACGCGGAAUGCGUGGUGUAGCGGUGAAAUGCAUAGAUAUCACGCAGAACUCCGAUUGCGAAGGCAGCGUACCGGCGCCCAACUGACGCUGAAGCACGAAGGCGUGGGUAUCGAACAGG
rnacentral:rRNA from 1 species